GAAACCAAGAGUCAGAUGCUAGACUGACUGAGCCACCCAGGGGCUGUUCAUAUUUUAUUGGAUGUUCAUAUUUAAAACUGGUUCUUGUUGCAAACUCGUGUUCUUGGAUUCGGAUUUAUUGACAGUCCACAGAAGGCUUUUCUGGAACUUUUCUACACUAAGGAUGAAGACAGUAGAAGACACCAGGCUGAGACAAUUCGGAAGUGAAGCCAUGAAUGCAGGUUCAUGGUACUCCAUAUGCAAACUCCUUCACCAAUAUCUCACCUCAGCCCUUCCUGUGCCUGGUGUCCUUGAAGCCACAGCACGUCUGGAACAUUUCUAGAAAAUAUCUAGUUGGUGUUAUGGAAUCAGGCGCUCAUCUGCAGGUGUUAUGUCAAUGGGUAAAGACAGUAAAGGGGCUCGAGAAUUCUCAUAAACUUUCAGACUACUUUCACCUAAGAAUGUGCUCUGUGAUUUAUGUUUCAAUUUUAACCUCUCCAUUCUUGGUACAAAUAUAUGGUCUGAAUCCUCGGGGUUUUAUAAGGAAAAUCAGUUCACUUCUCAUAACAUCUCAUUACUUGUCAUCAUUAUCAAUAUCUUAGAAGUCCUUUAGGAUGUGUCCACAAAUAUACCCCUUUGCUCAUAUAAACGUGAAUUUUGUGUCUGAAUUUAUUUACAUUUUUAUCAUGUGUGUAUGUAUCAGUUUUGCCUCACGUUUAAAUUUAUGUAAAUGAAAAUGUUCAUAGUUUUUAAUCUAUAACUUAUACAUUUUCUGCUCAAAUUGAUAUUUAUGAGCCUGGCGAUAUAUUUCCACAAUUACCUUUUCUGUCUGCUCUGUAAAAAUAAAUCUGGACUCUUUAUUCGUUUUGUUCUCAGUCAGCUGUACGAUAUUAAGCUUUGUCAGGAGAGGUUCAUUGUAGAAGACAUUGUAGAAAGAAAAGAUUUGCUUCCUGGUCCCAGUGUACUUCUCUAAGCAGGCGCCAGUUGUACACACCGAUUUUCUAGAGCCUGGUUCCUGAAGUAGCCUCAAAUUAUCCAGCACCCAGUUUCCACAGUUCCUGGAAAUCAACAGCAACAAGCCGACAGCUUUCCCUGGGACUCCUCUGAUAGCGGUUUUGUGGUAGAUUACCUCUGGUGAGUCACUUGAGAACACUUCUCCUUGGCAAUCUGGAGGGCAAGUUCCAUCCAGAGGGAGGGCAAGUCCCGAGGGGCAGGUUUCCUGGAAGUUCUGCAGCAUGAGAGAACAGCAACUUCUCUGCCAUUCAGGGGCCAUAGCCAUAGACUCCCCAGCAAGGGCUGAAUGUUAACCUUGGUGGGUGUUUCCAACAUGGCUGCCCUCUUCAUCCGUAGGUGUAAUGGCUGCUCUUAUUAAAAUUCUCCCUACUUCUUAUUAGAUAAUGCCUUGUGACUCUACCCCCUGUUACAGUCAAUAAUUCUUUAUAUUAAAUUUUCUU